rnacentral:misc_RNA from 1 species
CAAAGUUUUCCACUAGAUCCAAUCCAAAAGUAGCUAUUCUAAUAGCAAUGAGAAAGCCGGAUCUAAUGGGGAAAGAGAGAGGAGUGAACAAUAACAAGGCUAAGCUUAGAAAAGGGUUAUGGUCACCUGAGGAAGAUGAGAAGCUCAUCAAGUACAUGUUAACUAAUGGACAAGGUUGCUGGAGUGAUAUUGCUAGGAAUGCUGGCUUGCACAGAUGUGGAAAGAGUUGUCGUCUUCGUUGGAUUAACUAUUUGAGACCUGACCUAAAGAGAGGUGCUUUUUCCCCUCAAGAAGAAGAGCUGAUUAUCCAUUUGCACUCCAUUCUUGGCAACAGGUCCCUUCUCCAUUCCUCUUUUAAACUUAUCAUAUGAAACCCUAGCUAGAGAUUCCAAAGCUUAUGUUUUAGGUCAUCUUUCUUGCUUUUGAUUGUGUAUUCUUUAUAUCGAUGAAGAUGCUAGUCUUGGACAAUUCAUACGCUUAUAGUGACAUGAAAUGGAGAUGAAAAGAGAGCAUUUGUAGAAUGUCAAUGCAAAUUCUUGAAAUGUCUAUUGGGUAUUUUUAGUUUUCUUCUUUUAUUUUCUUAACAAGGAGUCUUUAAUUUGAGCAUUUGUCACAAUUAAUGUAAAUUAAUUACUUGCUUGCCUUCUUUCUUUUAGUUUGUAUAGCAUUAGCAUCUUAAGGCCAUUAAUUGUUGGGUCAAUUCCAUAUUCAAUCUGCACUCAUAGCCUUAGAUAAGUCUAACCUUCAAGAAAAUGCAUAUCUUCAAGCUACAUUUAUGUGCUUUUCUAUUAUUAUUAGGAAGAAAAAGAUUCUCUUAAUUUGAAAAUCAAGAAGAUCAAAUAUAUAUUCUUGUAAUAUAUUUUUUCUUGUUUCAUGCCACAUCUUACCCUCUUUUGGGGUGUUAUCUCUUUUUGUUUUAUUCUCAUUCUUCAGUAAAUUUAUUUUGCUUAUAAAAGAAAAUCAACAUCUCUUGCCUUUUCCAAAGCAAUAAAAAUCUCAGUCAACCUUGGAAAAUAGCAAUUUUGGCUUUUCGUUUUUCUAAUUUGCUUUGAAACUUCCAUGCACUUAUAAAUUUAUUUUCACUUUCACAACUUUUUUUAAUUAGCUAGUAGGUAUUUUAUUUCCAUAAUCUUUCAUUCAAUAAAAAGAAUAUAAAAAGUUUCCAUGCAUGGUAGAGAUAUUAUAUUUGCAAUGGAAAAUCUACUCCAUUUAUUAAUGAGUUUUAUUUCAGUUGUACUAAAAUCAUAUUUGGAAUGGUAAGUCAGCGUGAGUUAUAUAUAAAAAAAACAAAUAUAUUCUAUUUUAUAUCUAUAUAUGCACACUUCGUGAUUGUCUCAUGCUGAAUUUUAUGUCUUAGAUUAUCAGGCGUUUUUUAAGGCAUGGCAGAUACAGACUAUAAUGAUCCGAAAGGGAAAUGUGGACGUGUGGCUGUGCUAGAGCUUGACCUUUCCUAUUCAUUUUUCUAUACCCUAACCAUAUCCAUUCAAAUCCAUGCAUUUGAAAACUUGUAAAUAUAUAUAGAAAGCUCAUACAUAUUCUUGUAUAUAGCCCACUAAUUCUCUUCUGAUUUUGUGUUUGUUAUUUGUACUUUAUAGUUAAUCAUAUUUAUGUUGAAUAUUAUUUCAGAUGGUCUCAAAUUGCGGCUCGUCUUCCUGGAAGGACAGACAACGAAAUAAAGAAUUUUUGGAACUCCACGUUGAAGAAAAGACUCAAGCUUAUUAGUAAUAACAAUCCUUCCACAAGCUCACCAAAUAAUGAUAGUGAUUCCUCAGUGCCUAGAGAUCCUGUCAUAGGAAAUAUCAUGCCUAUGCACAAUGAUGAUCAGGACCUAAUCGCCAUGUGCAUGGACUCAUCUUCUUCAUCAUCAGCAUCCAUCCAAGCCAUCGUUGCCGGCGGUGGCAACCAGUUCGAUCCUUUCUUAAUCCUUAAUAAUUAUCAGUUCGACGGGACCGGGGCUGCUGCUCUAUUUGACAUGUCUACAUGCUUAACUCAGGUGGGCAUGGGAGAUGGAUUUUAUGGUGAUUGUGGGAUUUUAGAGAAUCAUCAUAAUAAGAUUGGGAUAGAAAGGGACCUUUGUGUUCCUCCACUAGAGAGUAGUAGAAGUAUUGAAGAGGAGGAAAAGAAGAAUAAUAAUAAUGCUGUAACUAAUCACAGCAUUAUUAGCGUGAAAAGCAAUAUCAACAAUAACAUCAACAACCACUUGAACAAUAAUAAUUCUUGCUUCAAUAACACUGAUCAUCAUCACCAUCAUCAGAACUUAAAAGUAGAGGACAUGUUUGGGUUUGAAAAUCAUUGGCAAGGAGAAAACUUAAGAAUGGGAGAAUGGGAUUUGGAGGGUUUGAUGGAAAACAUUUCUUCCUUUCCUUUCCUUGAUUUCCAAGUUGAAUAAACCUGCCACAUUUUGAGCUCUCUCUUUCUCCUUCUCUCUCUCCCCUUAAUCCAAGAAUGUGCUAGGAAAUUUUGGGCAUGCACAUUCUUUUUCAAAUCAGACACUACUGCAUUCUUCUUCUUGAUAUCUCUGAAACCUUUCUUUCUCAGCCUUAUAUACUAUUUCUUUAAUUUCUUUGUUGUUGGUCAGAUGAUGAAUCUGCAAUAAAAUAUUGCGAAGUGGAGAAUAUAUAUAUAUAUAUGUAUUGGGUGGGUAUGUAGAGAGAUUCUCGUAUACGAUGGAGUAGUAGUUUCAAUUUCUUUGCAAGAGGCAAAACCUUGGAUUCAUUUCUUGGGGUGCAAUAAUCAUCGUUCCCUAUCAAGAGAAAUGUGAAUAGAAUAGGAGAGAAAGUGUAUAUGAGGAAAUAAAAGAUUAGUUGGCGAUCCCAAUUGUAGUUACUUUCUUGUACAAACAAGGAAAUAAUGAAGAGGGUCCAUGUUUUUAGUUAAAGAUACAAUACACGCUUUGUAAACACUCACUAAUAAGAAAUUUCAUGCAAUAUUUUCUCUUUUUAUCUACUUAUCUAUGUAUAUCUACAUAACAGUCUAAUAUAGCUUUUCCGAAAGUAUAUCAUUCACUUUGAUAGAGUUAA